rnacentral:rRNA from 1 species
GGGACACGUGGUAUCCUGUCUGAAUAUGGGGGGACCAUCCUCCAAGGCUAAAUACUCCUGACUGACCGAUAGUGAACCAGUACCGUGAGGGAAAGGCGAAAAGAACCCCGGCGAGGGGAGUGAAAAAGAACCUGAAACCGUGUACGUACAAGCAGUGGGAGCACGCUUAGGCGUGUGACUGCGUACCUUUUGUAUAAUGGGUCAGCGACUUAUAUUCUGUAGCAAGGUUAACCGAAUAGGGGAGCCGAAGGGAAACCGAGUCUUAACUGGGCGUUAAGUUGCAGGGUAUAGACCCGAAACCCGGUGAUCUAGCCAUGGGCAGGUUGAAGGUUGGGUAACACUAACUGGAGGACCGAACCGACUAAUGUUGAAAAAUUAGCGGAUGACUUGUGGCUGGGGGUGAAAGGCCAAUCAAACCGGGAGAUAGCUGGUUCUCCCCGAAAGCUAUUUAGGUAGCGCCUCGUGAAUUCAUCUCCGGGGGUAGAGCACUGUUUCGGCAAGGGGGUCAUCCCGACUUACCAACCCGAUGCAAACUGCGAAUACCGGAGAAUGUUAUCACGGGAGACACACGGCGGGUGCUAACGUCCGUCGUGAAGAGGGAAACAACCCAGACCGCCAGCUAAGGUCCCAAAGUCAUGGUUAAGUGGGAAACGAUGUGGGAAGGCCCAGACAGCCAGGAUGUUGGCUUAGAAGCAGCCAUCAUUUAAAGAAAGCGUAAUAGCUCACUGGUCGAGUCGGCCUGCGCGGAAGAUGUAACGGGGCUAAACCAU